UGGGCUAUAGCCAAGCGGUAAGGCAAUGGACUUUGACUCCAUGAUCGUUGGUUCGAAUCCAGCUAGCCCAG
rnacentral:tRNA from 2 species